rnacentral:ncRNA from 2 species
GUACAAAUUCAUAAUACACCUUAUAUAAUCUCGGGGAUAUGGCCCGUAAGUCUCUACCUGACGACCAUGAAUUGUCAGACUAUAAGGGGAGAUAUACGAACG